UACGAAGGGGGCUAGCGUUGCUCGGAAUCACUGGGCGUAAAGCGCACGUAGGCGGCUUUUUAAGUCAGGGGUGAAAUCCUGGAGCUCAACUCCAGAACUGCCUUUGAUACUGGGAAGCUUGAGUCCGGGAGAGGUGAGUGGAACUCCGAGUGUAGAGGUGAAAUUCGUAGAUAUUGGGAAGAACGCCGGUGGCGAAGGCGGCUCACUGGUCCGAUACUGACGCUGAGGUGCGAAAGCGUGGGGAGCAAACAGG
rnacentral:rRNA from 1 species